GUGCUCACUUCAGCAGCACAUAUGCUAAAAUGGGAACAAUACAGAGAAGAUUAGUACGGCCCUGAGCAAGGAUGACACGCAAAUUGUGAAGCGUUCCAUAUUUUU